AUUGAACGCUGGCGGCAUGCCUUACACAUGCAAGUCGAACGGCAGCGCGGGGCAACCUGGCGGCGAGUGGCGAACGGGUGAGUAAUAUAUCGGAACAUACCCUAGAGUGGGGAUAACGUAGCGAAAGUUACGCUAAUACCGCAUACGCACUAAGGUGGAAAGUGGGGGAUUCGCAAGAACCUCAUGCUCAUGGAGUGGCCGAUAUCUGAUUAGCUAGUUGGUGAGGUAAAGGCUCACCAAGGCGACGAUCAGUAGCUGGUUUGAGAGAACGACCAGCCACACUGGAACUGAGACACGGUCCAGACUCCUACGGAGGCAGCAGUGGGAAUUUUGGACAAUGGGGGGCAACCCUGAUCCAGCAAUGCCGCGUGAGUGAAGAAGGCCUCGGGUUGUAAGACUCUUUGUCUAGGAGAAACGGUGAUUCUAAUACAGAUUGCUAAUGACGGUACC
rnacentral:rRNA from 1 species